rnacentral:rRNA from 1 species
AUGCAUGUCUAAGUAUAAGCAAUUAUACAGCGAAACUGCGAACGGCUCAUUAUAUAAGUUAUAGUUUAUUUGAUAGUACCUUACUACUUGGAUAACCGUGGUAAUUCUAGAGCUAAUACAUGCUAAAAAUCCCGACUUCGGAAGGGAUGUGUUUAUUAGAUUAAAAACCAAUGCCCCCUGGGCUCCCUGGUGAUUCAUAAUAACCUCUCGAAUCGCACGGCCUUGCGCUGGCGAUGGUUCAUUCAAAUUUCUUCCCUAUCAACUUUCGAUGUUUGGGUAGUGGCCAAACAUGGUUGCAACGGGUAACGGAGGGUUAGGGCUCGACCCCGGAGAAGGAGCCUGAGAAACGGCUACUACAUCCAAGGAAGGCAGCAGGCGCGCAAAUUACCCAAUCCCGACCCGGGGAGGUAGUGACAAUAAAUACUGAUACAGGGCUCUUUUGGGUCUUGUAAUUGGAAUGAGUACAAUUUAAAUCCCUUAACGAGGAACAAUCCAGUCCAUAGCGUAUAUUAAAGUUGUUGUGGUUAAAAAGCUCGUAGUUGAACCUUGGGCCUGGCUGGCCGGUCCGCCUCACCGCGUGUACUGGUCCGGCCGGGCCUUUCCCUCUGUGGAACCCCAUGCCCUCACUGGGUGUGGCGGGGAAACAGGACUUUUACUUGGAAAAAAUUAGAGUGCUCCAGGCAGGCCUAUGCUCGAAUACAUUAGCAUGGAAUAAUGAAAUAGGACGUGCGGUUCUAUUUGGUUGGUUUCUAGGACCGCCGUAAUGAUUAAUAGGGACAGUCGGGGGCAUCAGUAUUCAAUUGUCAGAGGUGAAAUUCUUGGAUUUAUUGAAGACUAACUACUGCGAAAGCAUUUGCAAGGAUGUUUUCAUUAAUCAGGAACGAAAGUUAGGGGAUCGAAGACGAUCAGAUACC